rnacentral:rRNA from 1 species
UGGGGAAUAUUGCACAAUGGGCGCAAGCCUGAUGCAGCCAUGCCGCGUGUAUGAAGAAGGCCUUCGGGUUGUAAAGUACUUUCAGCGGGGAGGAAGGUGUUGAGGUUAAUAACCUCAGCAAUUGACGUUACCCGCAGAAGAAGCACCGGCUAACUCCGUGCCAGCAGCCGCGGUAAUACGGAGGGGGCAAGCGUUAAUCGGAAUUACUGGGCGUAAAGCGCACGCAGGCGGUCUGUCAAGUCGGAUGGG